UAGAGUUUGAUCUGGCUCAGAUUGAACGCUGGCGGCAGGCCUAACACAUGCAAGUCGAGCGGUAGCACAGAGAGCUUGCUCUCGGGUGACGAGCGGCGGACGGGUGAGUAAUGUCUGGGAAACUGCCUGAUGGAGGGGGAUAACUACUGGAAACGGUAGCUAAUACCGCAUAACGUCGCAAGACCAAAGUGGGGGACCUUCGGGCCUCAUGCCAUCAGAUGUGCCCAGAUGGGAUUAGCUGGUAGGUGGGGUAACGGCUCACCUAGGCGACGAUCCCUAGCUGGUCUGAGAGGAUGACCAGCCACACUGGAACUGAGACACGGUCCAGACUCCUACGGGAGGCAGCAGUGGGGAAUAUUGCACAAUGGGCGCAAGCCUGAUGCAGCCAUGCCGCGUGUGUGAAGAAGGCCUUCGGGUUGUAAAGCACUUUCAGCGGGGAGGAAGGCGAUAAGGUUAAUAACCUUGUCGAUUGACGUUACCCGCAGAAGAAGCACCGGCUAACUCCGUGCCAGCAGCCGCGGUAAUACGGAGGGUGCAAGCGUUAAUCGGAAUUACUGGGCGUAAAGCGCACGCAGGCGGUCUGUCAAGUCGGAUGUGAAAUCCCCGGGCUCAACCUGGGAACUGCAUUCGAAACUGGCAGGCUAGAGUCUUGUAGAGGGGGGUAGAAUUCCAGGUGUAGCGGUGAAAUGCGUAGAGAUCUGGAGGAAUACCGGUGGCGAAGGCGGCCCCCUGGACAAAGACUGACGCUCAGGUGCGAAAGCGUGGGGAGCAAACAGGAUUAGAUACCCUGGUAGUCCACGCUGUAAACGAUGUCGAUUUGGAGGUUGUGCCCUUGAGGCGUGGCUUCCGGAGCUAACGCGUUAAAUCGACCGCCUGGGGAGUACGGCCGCAAGGUUAAAACUCAAAUGAAUUGACGGGGGCCCGCACAAGCGGUGGAGCAUGUGGUUUAAUUCGAUGCAACGCGAAGAACCUUACCUGGUCUUGACAUCCACAGAACUUUCCAGAGAUGGAUUGGUGCCUUCGGGAACUGUGAGACAGGUGCUGCAUGGCUGUCGUCAGCUCGUGUUGUGAAAUGUUGGGUUAAGUCCCGCAACGAGCGCAACCCUUAUCCUUUGUUGCCAGCGGUCCGGCCGGGAACUCAAAGGAGACUGCCAGUGAUAAACUGGAGGAAGGUGGGGAUGACGUCAAGUCAUCAUGGCCCUUACGACCAGGGCUACACACGUGCUACAAUGGCAUAUACAAAGAGAAGCGACCUCGCGAGAGCAAGCGGACCUCAUAAAGUAUGUCGUAGUCCGGAUUGGAGUCUGCAACUCGACUCCAUGAAGUCGGAAUCGCUAGUAAUCGUAGAUCAGAAUGCUACGGUGAAUACGUUCCCGGGCCUUGUACACACCGCCCGUCACACCAUGGGAGUGGGUUGCAAAAGAAGUAGGUAGCUUAACCUUCGGGAGGGCGCUUACCACUUUGUGAUUCAUGACUGGGGUGAAGUCGUAACAAGGUAGCCGUA
rnacentral:rRNA from 1 species